GACGAACGCUGGCGGCGUGCUUAACACAUGCAAGUCGAACGGAAAGGCCCUGCUUUUGUGGGGUGCUCGAGUGGCGAACGGGUGAGUAACACGUGAGUAACCUGCCCUUGACUUUGGGAUAACUUCAGGAAACUGGGGCUAAUACCGGAUAGGAGCUCCUGCUGCAUGGUGGGGGUUGGAAAGUUUCGGCGGUUGGGGAUGGACUCGCGGCUUAUCAGCUUGUUGGUGGGGUAGUGGCUUACCAAGGCUUUGACGGGUAGCCGGCCUGAGAGGGUGACCGGCCACAUUGGGACUGAGAUACGGCCCAGACUCCUACGGGAGGCAGCGGUGGGGAAUAUUGCACAAUGGGCGGAAGCCGGAGGCAGCAACGCCGCGUGCGGGAUGACGGCCUUCGGGUUGUAAACCGCUUUCGCCUGUGACGAAGCGUGAGUGACGGUAAUGGGUAAAGAAGCACCGGCUAACUACGUG
rnacentral:rRNA from 1 species